UACAGAGGGUGCAAGCGUUAAUCGGAAUUACUGGGCGUAAAGCGUGCGUAGACGGUUAUCUAAGUCGGGUGUGAAAGCCCCGGGCUCAACCUGGGAAUUGCGUUCGAUACUGGAUAGCUAGAGUUCGGCAGAGGGAAGCGGAAUUUCUGGUGUAGCGGUGAAAUGCGUAGAUAUCAGAAGGAACAUCAGUGGCGAAAGCGGCUUCCUGGACCAGAACUGACGAUCAGGCACGAAAGCGUGGGGAGCAAACAGG
rnacentral:rRNA from 1 species